GACGAACGCUGGCGGCGUGCCUAACACAUGCAAGUCGAGCGAUGAAACCCUUCGGGGUGGAUUAGCGGCGGACGGGUGAGUAACACGUGGGUAACCUGCCUCAAAGAGGGGGAUAGCCUCCCGAAAGGGAGAUUAAUACCGCAUAACAUUAGUUUUUCGCAUGAAGAACUAAUUAAAGGAGCAAUCAGCUUUGAGAUGGACCCGCGGCGCAUUAGCUAGUUGGUGAGGUAAAGGCUCACCAAGGCGACGAUGCGUAGCCGACCUGAGAGGGUGAUCGGCCACAUUGGAACGGAGACACGGUCCAGACUCCUACGGGAGGCAGCAGUGGGGAAUAUUGCACAAUGGGCGAAAGCCUGAUGCAGCAACGCCGCGUGAGUGAUGAAGGCCUUCGGGUUGUAAAGCUCUGUCUUUUGGGACGAUAAUGACGGUACCAAAGGAGGAAGCCACGGCUAACUACGUGCCAGCCGCCGCCGUAAUAC
rnacentral:rRNA from 1 species